rnacentral:sRNA from 1 species
UUUCCAAGGAGACGCGGGCGCACUGCCCCUCCCUUGCUUCCUCCUCUUCCCUCCUUCCUCUCCUAGUUUCUUCCCUCCCUUCUCCUUCCCUCCCUUCCCGCCCUACUCCUUUCGGCUGCUCUGGUGCCCACCCCCAGUGCCUCGAGGACGAGGAGAGCUCCUCGGCCCCGCAGGACAGGGAAGAUUCUGUACAGAUGAGCAUAACCUAUGUAAACAGGUUACCCAGAUGGGAGAGAGGACAUCUGCUGGCUGGUGUGGCGUCCAGCACUGAUGUGUCUAUCUUCUCUGAAGGUGACUGCAAGGAGCCUGAGAAGUGCUGCUGGAAACACAAGCAGUGCACUGGGCACAUCAUCUACCCUUUCGCCUCUGACUGUGUCCGCCACAGCCUGCACCUACACUCUGUCAACCACUGCAACUGUAAUUCUAGGCUGAAGGACUGUUCAGAGGAUAGCAGCAGCUCGCGGGGCGCGGGCCCAACCUGCUCCCAUGUCAUCGAGUCCCCUUGCUUUGAGCUCACACCGGAGGAGGAGCAUGUGGAGCGAUUCUGGUAUGGCUG